rnacentral:rRNA from 1 species
UACAGAGGUCCCAAGCGUUGUUCGGAUUCACUGGGCGUAAAGGGUGCGUAGGUGGUUGGGUAAGUUUGAUGUGAAAUCUCCGAGCUUAACUCGGAAAUGGCAUUGAAUACUAUCUGGCUAGAGGUUCGGAGGGGGGACUGGAAUUCUCGGUGUAGCAGUGAAAUGCGUAGAUAUCAGGAGGAAUACCGAUGGCGAAGGCAGGUCUCUGGGCUGACACUGACGCUCAUGCACGAAAGGCGUGGGGAGCAA